ACGAAGGGGGCUAGCGUUGUCCGGAUUUACUGGGUGUAAAGGGAGCGCAGGCGGAUUUUCAAGUCGAUGGUGAAAUCUUGCGGCUCAACCGCAAAACAGCCGUUGAUACUGUUAAUCUUGAGUGUGGAAGAGAGUGGCGGAAUUCAUGGUGUAGCAGUGAAAUGCGUAGAUAUCAUGAAGAACACCGGUUGCGAAGGCGGCCACUUAGUCCAUUACUGACGCUCAUGCUCGAAAGCGUGGGGAUCAAACAGGAUUAGAUACCCUGGUAGUCCACGCCCUAAACGAUGAAUACUCGGUGUCGGGUCGCAAGAUUCGGCGCCUAAGCAAACGCAUUAAGUAUUCCACCUGGGAAGUACGAUCGCAAGGUUG
rnacentral:rRNA from 1 species